GUCAGUAGUAACUUUAAAAAACAAAACAAAAAAAAAACACAAAGAAGAUAAGAUGAUUAGAGGGAAUACGUGAGGUACAGAGCAAAGAGGGAGGGCAGAGGAGCUGACACCAGCUGCGGAGUGAUAGCUCUGCAGAGGAAGUGCCACACUUUCCUGAUUGUCUCUCUGUGGACCGCAGCGCUACAGCAGGAGGAGAGGGAGAGACAAGCGAGGAGAGCAGGAGAUUGCCUUCUCGCUUCAGUCCAUCCAUUUUGUCAAGGCGUCUCACUGACAAGCAUCGCGUGUCUCCGUGUUCGUCUUACCCAUCUCCCGUAGUUGCUGAGAGGCUGUGCACUGCUCAUGGAGUCGGGGAUGACGGCGGCAUGCUGAACGGAGCUGUGAGUGAGCUGCUGCCAGGCUGGAGGCAGCAGGAUCUGCUGGGUGCCGCUGGGCCAAGCCUGCUGAGUAAGCUGAGUCGGGCCGCAACAGUGAGAGGAAGACGGGUGAUGGAGCUCGCGUCGGAGACAAAGAUGACCCGGGGGAUAUAUCAACACUCGUGCAGGCUGCCUUCAUUAAACUAUGGGCUGCAUGUACUGGUCGCGGGCGUGCCGGAGCCUAUCCCAGCUAUCUUCGGGCGAGAGGCGGGGUACACCCUGAACUGGUCGCCAGCCAAUGGCAGGGCACACAGAAACAAACAACCAUUCACACUCACAUUCACACCUACGGGCAAUUUACAGUCUUCAAUCAACCUACUACGCAUGUUUUUAGGAUGUGGGAGGAAACCGGAGUGCCCGGAGAAAACCCACGCAGGCAAGGGGAAAACAUGCACGCAGGCUCCACACAGGCGAGGCCCGGAUUUGAUCCCCGGUCCUCAGAACUGUGAGGCAGAUGUGCUAACCAGUCUUCACCGUGCCGCCGAUUUCUAACAUGUUACCAAUAUUUCUUUUAAGUUGUAAAGGGAAUAAAAAGCUCCAAUCCACAACAUAUCAUUUUCUUGCGGGGGAAACAACCCAGCACAGUUUCCAAUCUAUGCCGUGGUGAGAUGAACGGAAUCACACUGCUUCUUAGAAAUGUCAUGAAAUAACCCCAUUACUCAA